rnacentral:lncRNA from 1 species
AUCAUUUGUUGUUCCCCCAUCUAAACACAGGAAUCCCUAAAGGAAGCUUCAAAUUCAACCAAUAUCUCUCUUGGGAACAGAACAACAACAAAAAAGCUCUCUUGGGCUUUCUGUCUGCCCCCUCCCCUAGACCAGCUCCACUGGCUCUUCUGAAGAUGUCUGGAAUGGUUAAGAUUCAUCAGGUCACACCUCGGCCUGUCAGGACCCGGCGCCUCCUUUCCCCUGCAUCAACCCAUCGCUUCAUUUCAUCUCCAAAGGGGCUGGCGACAGGUGCUGAACUGCUUUCUGAUAAAACUCCUAAGUCCAAAUAGAAGAAAAGUAUUUUUUGAACCAUGAUUUAGUUCUCCCGGAUGCCACAGUCAACAAAGAAAUAAUUCAAGAGUUUGUAUGUCCCUAUUUCCUUUUUUUGCUAUGUUUUAUCUAGUCUCCUCUGUGUUCCUAACGGUAAGGCCUUUCCUUUUUUUCUCCAAACCACACUGUUACUCCUUCUCCCCACUCCUUUGAUUUAACUUCAGUUAAUUGGGAUUGGUAGCGGUGAGGCCUUUCCUUUUUUUCUCCAAAGCACACUGUUACUCCUCCUCCCCAUUCCUUUGAUUUGUUUAACUUCAGUUAAUUAGGAUUGGUAGCCAGUUCUCAAUCUGUUAUGUGUUAAGAUAGAGCAGUUGAAAAGAGAGACUCAGACACAACUAUGUCAUUUCAUUGUUUGGGGGAGACAGAAUGCCAGUGGGGCUUCCCUUAUCAAGCUAACAUCUUCCCAAUGGUUAAUCUCAAUGGAUUGAAAAUGUCUUGUAAAUGAAGAUCCAGGAUAACAACCUUUCCAAGUUUUCCCUUUUUCCUCAUUUCAACACUGGCAGGAAUUAAUGAAUUGGAUUGAUGUGGUGGUGAUGGAAGAAGAGAAAUGAUCCACACGUCAAAAUGACAAUGUGUAUUACGUGAUUAACAGAAUGAGUGGUAUGCACAAAAUCUGUGGGUAUUUUCAUCGAGUUUGUUGUACAAUAAACUCCUUUUUUCCAAUGUGGUAUCAAGAU